rnacentral:rRNA from 1 species
GUGGGGAAUCUUAGACAAUGGGGGAAACCCUGAUCUAGCCAUGCCGCGUGAGCGAUGAAGGCCUUAGGGUUGUAAAGCUCUUUCAGCUGGGAAGAUAAUGACGGUACCAGCAGAAGAAGCCCCGGCUAACUCCGUGCCAGCAGCCGCGGUAAUACGGAGGGGGCUAGCGUUGUUCGGAAUUACUGGGCGUAAAGCGCGCGUAGGCGGACCAGAAAGUUGGAGGUGAAAUCCCAGGGCUCAACCUUGGAACUGCCUUCAAAACUCCUGGUCUGGAGUUCGAGAGAGGUGAGUGGAAUUCCGAGUGUAGAGGUGAAAUUCGUAGAUAUUCGGAGGAACACCAGUGGCGAAGGCGGCUCACUGGCUCGAUACUGACGCUGAGGUGCGAAAGCGUGGGGAGCAAACAGGAUUAGAAACCCGGGUAGUCC